rnacentral:rRNA from 1 species
ACCCUUCUGUGACCUACCUAUCGUUGCUUCGGCGGACUCGCCCCAGCCCGGACGCGGACUGGACCAGCGGCCCGCCGGGGACCUCAAACUCUUGUAUUCCAGCAUCUUCUGAAUACGCCGCAAGGCAAAACAAAUGAAUCAAAACUUUCAACAACGGAUCUCUUGGCUCUGGCAUCGAUGAAGAACGCAGCGAAACGCGAUAAGUAAUGUGAAUUGCAGAAUCCAGUGAAUCAUCGAAUCUUUGAACGCACAUUGCGCCCGCCAGCAUUCUGGCGGGCAUGCCUGUUCGAGCGUCAUUUCAACCCUCGACCUCCCCUUGGGGAGGUCGGCGUUGGGGACCGGCAGCACACCGCCGGCCCUGAAAUGGAGUGGCGGCCCGUCCGCGGCGACCUCUGCGCAGUAAUACAGCUCGCACCGGGACCCCGACGCGGCCACGCCGUAAAACACCCAACUUCUGAACGUUGACCUCGAAUCAGGUAGGACUACCCGCUGAACUUAAGCAUAUCAUA